GAUGAACGCUGGCGGCGUGCCUAAUACAUGCAAGUCGAGCGAAUGGAUUGAGAGCUUGCUCUUAUGAAGUUAGCGGCGGACGGGUGAGUAACACGUGAGUAACCUGCCCAUAAGACUGGGAUAACUCCGGGAAACCGGGGCUAAUACCGGAUAACAUUUUGAACCGCAUGGUUCGAAAUUGAAAGGCGGCUUCGGCUGUCACUUAUUGAUGGACCCGCGUCGCAUUAGCUGGUUGGUGAGGUAACGGCUCACCAAGGCAACGAUGCGUAGCCGACCUGAGAGGGUGAUCGGCCACACUGGGACUGAGACACGGCCCAGACUCCUACGGGAGGCAGCAGUAGGGAAUCUUCCGCAAUGGACGAAAGUCUGACGGAGCAACGCCGCGUGAGUGAUGAAAGCUUUCGGGUCGUAAAACUCUGUUGUUAGGGAAGAACAAGUGCUAGUUGAAUAAGCUGGCACCUUGACGGUACCUAACCAGAAAGCCACGGCUAACUACGUGCCAGCCGCCGCGGUAA
rnacentral:rRNA from 1 species